AGACAGCAGUCGCCACGGUAAUACAGAGGGUGCAAGCGUUAAUCGGAAUUACUGGGCGUAAAGGGCGCGUAGGUGGUUGCGUAAGUGAGAUGUGAAAUCCCCGGGCUUAACCUGGGACGUGCAUCUUAUACUGCGUAACUGGAGUGCAAGAGAGGGUAGUGGAAUUUCCGGUGUAGCGGUGAAAUGCGUAGAUAUCGGAAGGAACACCAGUGGCGAAGGCGGCUACCUGGCUUGACACUGACACUGAGGCGCGAAAGCGUGGGGAGCAAACAGGAUUAGAUACCCCCGUAGUCCCUGUCUCUUAUAC
rnacentral:rRNA from 1 species